AACUCCUUCUUGAUUUCGCGAUCUACUGCCAUCGUGCGAGCCAAGGAUGAAGGCCGCAACAAGUACAACUGGAACUGCGAUGGGGUCAAAGGUCAAAAGGCGGGGCCGACCUCUGGGACCAUCGCCGACAGACCGACACGUCGGAAAUGAGCUGAGUGAGAAAGGUCGCCAAGAUCGGCACGUGAAUGCUAAUUGCUUCCAAGCUUUCAGGUCGUGAACAUCAGUAGCCAGCCUCCUGAUGGGAACAAAAAAAAGAACUGCACAUCAUCUGCAUCCGGAUGCUGUUUGCCAUCAUGUGAGUGACACCAUCUGUUGAAUCAUUUGACUGCUCCUUGAUGUAUAAUCAAUGUACGUUUUUGGGAACGUUACCAGCAGAGAU